AUUUCUCUGAUUCUGGUUCUGUCGCUUGGUAAUUUUGUUUGUCUACGUUUGUUUUUGUGAGUCUUCUAUGUUGUCU